rnacentral:rRNA from 1 species
CAAUAGCGUAUAUUUAAGUUGUUGCAGUUAAAAAGCUCGUAGUCGGAUUUUGGCUGAGAACGAACGGUCCGCCGUUAGGUGUGCACUGUUUGGUCUCAGCUUCCUGGUGAGGAGGUGUGCUUCACGGCCACUUAGUCACCGUGGUUACUUUGAAAAAAUUAGAGUGUUCAAAGCGGGCUUACGCUUGAAUAUAUUAGCAUGGAAUAACACCAUAGGACUCCUGUCCUAUUUCGUUGGUCUCGGGACGGGAGUAAUGAUUAAGAGGAACAGUUGGGGGCAUUCGUAUUCCGUUGUCAGAGGUGAAAUUCUUGGAUUUACGGAAGACGAACUACUGCGAAAGCAUUUACCAAGGAUGUUUUCAUUGA